UGAGGAAUAUUAGUAAUGGGCGAAAGUCUGAUCUAGCAACACCGCGUGUGCGGAGAAGGCCUUCGGGUCGUAAAGCACUUUUUGGAAGGAAUAGGAAGGAAUGUACUUCCAGAAUAAGUCUCGGCUAACUACGUGCCAGCAGCCGCGGUAACACGUAGGAGGCGAACGUUAUCCGGAUUUACUGGGCGUAAAGCGCGUGUAGGUGGUUCUGUAAGUAGGGCGUGAAAGCUCCUGGCUCAACUGGGAGAGGCCGUUCUAAACUACAGAACUAGAGGAUGGUAGAGGGAGGUGGAAUUCCAGGUGUAGCGGUGGAAUGCGCAGAUAUCUGGAGGAACACCAGUGGCGAAGGCGGCCUCCUGGACCAUUCCUGACACUCAGACGCGAAAGCUAGGGUAGCAAACG
rnacentral:rRNA from 1 species